rnacentral:ncRNA from 2 species
UAAUAAAAUGAUAUUUCAAGUGCCCCCUCUGACGUUCAGUCUUUGGGGGAGGAUAGGGAAUCGGGUGAGAAUCCCGGACGGUUCCGCCGCUGUAUACGCCGAGGGCGUGCUCGUCGACGAAAGUCGGUCAUUGGGGAAACCUGAGAAGGCAGAGCGCGCGCCGCAGGAGUUUAUCUCCAUAAGCGUAAGUCAGAAGACCUGCUUUGAAAUCGCUCUGCCC